rnacentral:lncRNA from 1 species
CUUGAGUCUGUGAAGACAAAAUAAAAACUAUACUUGAAUCUCUUCCUAACUUAUUGGGCUAAAUGACAAUGGCAGAAUGCAAUUUCAGAAUUUCAUUCGAUGGGCAAUUUCAGUGUUUUGAUGUGUUUUGUUGCUUCAUUUUGCAGAUGUUUCCAUAAAGAGCAGCAAAGUUGGAUUGAAUGUUCUCUCUGUUUAAAUGAAAAUAACUAUUCUUAACCUGAACCAAGGCCAAUGUAUUGUGCAACAUGGAUGAGUCAGGUUUUAAAGUUUCUGCAAUCCCUCUGAUGCCUGGAGUGAUGCAGGAUGAGUCCAGCACACAACAUCUAUGAGGCUCCUCUGUGCUCUCAGGGUGUUCAUGUGGAGCCAGUGAAGGAGUUGGAGUUGCAAGUCAUGCAUGUAUCACUGCUUUAUCCUUUGGGAUGAACUCAUCUGGGGCUUCGACUCAAGAAACAGCAGGGGAGAUGCUCAAAACAAGCCCGUGAAGCUGAAAAUAGCACACCUCAGUUGCUGCUGCUUUCAAGAUAAAGAUGUCACCAGUGCUUGCCUUCUUGUAUGGUGUUCAUAAAAUGAGAUUAGAGUGAUUUACAAUAGUGAAAGAUGGAACAAGACUCAGAGGAGAUGUGACUCAUUAGACAUCAUCCUGUGACUGUUGGAAGGAACCUGC